rnacentral:rRNA from 1 species
GAUGAACGCUGGCGGCGUGCCUAAUACAUGCAAGUCGAGCGAACGGACGAGAAGCUUGCUUCUCUGAUGUUAGCGGCGGACGGGUGAGUAACACGUGGAUAACCUACCUAUAAGACUGGGAUAACUUCGGGAAACCGUAGCUAAUACCGGAUAAUCUUUUGAACCGCAUGGUUCAAAAGUGAAAGACGGUCUUGCUGUCUCUUAUAGAUGGAUCCGCGCUGCAUUAGCUAGUUGGUAAGGUAACGGCUUACCAAGGCAACGAUGCAUAGCCGACCUGAGAGGGUGAUCGGCCACACUGGAACUGAGACGCGGUCCAGACUCCUACGGGAGGCAGCAGUAGGGAAUCUGCCGCAAUGGGCGAAAGCCUGACGGAGCAACGCCGCGUGAGUGAUGAAGGUCUUCGGAUCGUAAAACUCUGUUAUUAGGGAAGAACAUAUGUGUAAGUAACUGUGCACAGCUUGACGGUACCUAAUCAGAAAGCCACGGCUAACUACGUG